ACAGGCAUAGAGGGAAGGGAUGGGGACAGGUGUGUGCCUCCUCAGUCGCCCCGCUUCCUCCAGCCCUCCCCCCACCCCCCUGCAGAGUGCAGACAGGUUCAGCUAUGGCCCAGGUGGCGGGGACAAACCUCUUCCACCCCUCGCAGGAUGACGUUUGUGCACCACCAGUAGUCCAGGGAGAUCUGUAGGCCGAUCCUCAGAGACCUGCCAGCAGAGGGCACCUUCAGCCCUGGGCAGGCACUCAUCUCAGAUCCUGCCCUGUCUGGCCCCGCCCCUGCCAGCCCCUCAGACCACUGUGAGCACGUGGCAGGGGCUGCUGAGUCCCGGUCCAGCCUCCAUGCUCUCAGGACAGCACUGACAGCAGGUCAGUCUCGGCCCCUGGUCUGCAGAAUGGACAGCCUGCAUCCACACCACCCCUCAGUCCCUGCACGCACCCUGAUGGGCACCCAGGACAGAUGGGAAGGGCCAGAGCUGGGAUGGGGUCUCGAGCCCUAACCACCAGGUGUGGUUUCUUUUUCAUUCUUCUGUAACACUCAUUAUAAAAAAUUCCACCCAAGACCUGGCACAGCUCUGAUGGGAUGCCAAGGUGGCACUCUGUUACCAGCUCCCGUCUGCAGAUGCGCCCUCACUCCAGGCCCCCCUGCACUCCUGCCUCCUGCGCACUCAGCCACCUCCCCCAGACUGGGCCCUGCCAGCCCUCUGCAGGUGCCCUCCACACACCUGUGGACAGGAGCCCCUAGGGAGUUGAGUCUCAGAGCUGGGACUCAACUGCUCUCCUGGCCAAGAGCAUGGCCUGUGCAGUCCUGGAGGUCCAAGCCCCUUCUGGUGUCAGCAGGGGUCCUCACUCCCCACGCCCCAGGCUAUGGAUGAGCAGCCCUGGGUCUGGAGAGGGAAGGAUCCAGGACCAGAAUCCAGGCCUCCAGUGUUGCAGACCCCAGACCCUUGGGCCUUCCUGACAGGGGUGUGGCUCCUGCUCCUUAAGACAGCCCUGAGAGGACCUGGGCCACCAGUCCAAGCUGAGCCUCUCCGUCCUGCCUCUCAGCUGUCUCCUGCUCCUCGCCGCCUCCACCUCAGGAGGGACCAGAAUGAAAAGGCUGCUGGAUUCGGACAGUUUGCUGCCCGGGCCGGGCACAUGCUGCUCCCAAGAGUUGUGGAGAUCAGGCGUCUUGGAGCAGUGAGGUCGGCCCAUGCCUUACACUUGCCAAACUGAGCUCCACAGACUGCGUCUGUCCCACUCACCCCCAGCCUGACACAGGGGACAAACAGUGUCGCCUGAAGAAGGGGGCGCGUGUUGGCCAGUCCACAGAAGCAGACACAGCCCGAGUGAUGCGAGCACGCCCUGUCAUGGUCCCUGAGACCUUUCUCCACCCCUAGGAGCCAGGCUCCCUGGAGAGUAGCAGCUUCUAGGGCUGGGAGAGAACAAGAGGGGCCUGGAGCAUCCUGUGUGCCAGAAGGAAUAGAAUGCUCAAAAGACACGUCAAAAGGAUUGAAAAAGUUAACGGUAAAAUCUAGGUUCACUGUAGAGCAUUUCCAACUCUGCUGUAUCUUUGAAGCUUUUUAUAAUAAAACGUUGGAGAUUAAAAAAUUUUCAAAAGGGGG